UACGUAGGGGGGCUAGCGUUGUCCGGAAUCAUUGGGCGUAAAGAGCGUGUAGGCGGCCCGGUAAGUCCGCUGUGAAAGUCGGGGGCUCAACCCUCGAAUGCCGGUGGAUACUGUCGGGCUAGAGUGCGGAAGAGGCGAGUGGAAGUUCCUGGGUGUAGCGGUGAAAUGCGCAGAUAUCAGGAGGAACACCAAUUGCGAAGGCAGCUCGCUGGGACGUUACUGACGCUGAGACGCGAAAGCGUGGGGAGCAAACAGG
rnacentral:rRNA from 1 species